CCUACGUGUGACUGCAGUGAGGCAUAUUGGUCAAUGGACGAGAGUCUGAACCAGCCAAGUAGCGUGAAGGAUGACUGCCCUAUUGGUUGUCAACUUCUUUUAUAUGGGCAUAAAAUGUUCCACGUGUGGGAUUUUGUAUGUACCAUAUGAAUAAGGAUCGGCUAACUCCGUGCCAGCAGCCGCGGCAAUACGGAGGAUCCGAGCGUUAUCCGGAUUUAUUGGGUUUAAAGGGAGCGUAGGUGGAUUGUUAAGGCAGUUGUGAAAGUUUUCGGCUCAACCGUAAAAGUGCAGUUGAAAUGGGCAGGCGUGAGUACAGUAGAGGUGGGCGGAAUUCGUGGGGUAGCGGUGAAAUGCUUAGAUAUCACGAAGAACUCCGAUUGCGAAGGCAGCUCACUGGACUGCAACUGAAACUGAGGCUCGAAAGUGUGGGUAUCAAACAGGAUUAGAUACCCGAGGAGUC
rnacentral:rRNA from 1 species